UGGGGGGACCAUCCUCCAAGGCUAAAUACUCCUGACUGACCGAUAGUGAACCAGUACCGUGAGGGAAAGGCGAAAAGAACCCCGGCGAGGGGAGUGAAAAAGAACCUGAAACCGUGUACGUACAAGCAGUGGGAGCACGCUUAGGCGUGUGACUGCGUACCUUUUGUAUAAUGGGUCAGCGACUUAUAUUCUGUAGCAAGGUUAACCGAAUAGGGGAGCCGAAGGGAAACCGAGUCUUAACUGGGCGUUAAGUUGCAGGGUAUAGACCCGAAACCCGGUGAUCUAGCCAUGGGCAGGUUGAAGGUUGGGUAACACUAACUGGAGGACCGAACCGACUAAUGUUGAAAAAUUAGCGGAUGACUUGUGGCUGGGGGUGAAAGGCCAAUCAAACCGGGAGAUAGCUGGUUCUCCCCGAAAGCUAUUUAGGUAGCGCCUCGUGAAUUCAUCUCCGGGGGUAGAGCACUGUUUCGGCAAGGGGGUCAUCCCGACUUACCAACCCGAUGCAAACUGCGAAUACCGGAGAAUGUUAUCACGGGAGACACACGGCGGGUGCUAACGUCCGUCGUGAAGAGGGAAACAACCCAGACCGCCAGCUAAGGUCCCAAAGUCAUGGUUAAGUGGGAAACGAUGUGGGAAGGCCCAGACAGCCAGGAUGUUGGCUUAGAAGCAGCCAUCAUUUAAAGAAAGCGUAAUAGCUCACUGGUCGAGUCGGCCUGCGCGGAAGAUGUAACGGGGCUAAACCAUGCAC
rnacentral:rRNA from 1 species